GAUGAACGCUGGCGGCGUGCCUAAUACAUGCAAGUCGAGCGAACAGACGAGGAGCUUGCUCCUCUGACGUUAGCGGCGGACGGGUGAGUAACACGUGGAUAACCUACCUAUAAGACUGGGAUAACUUCGGGAAACCGGAGCUAAUACCGGAUAAUAUAUUGAACCGCAUGGUUCAAUAGUGAAAGACGGUUUUGCUGUCACUUAUAGAUGGAUCCGCGCCGCAUUAGCUAGUUGGUAAGGUAACGGCUUACCAAGGCGACGAUGCGUAGCCGACCUGAGAGGGUGAUCGGCCACACUGGAACUGAGACAAGGUCCAGACUCCUACGGGAGGCAGCAGUAGGGAAUCCUCCGCAAUGGGCGAAAGCCUGACGGAGCAACGCCGCGUGAGUGAUGAAGGUCUUCGGAUCGUAAAACUCUGUUAUUAGGGAAGAACAAAUGUGUAAGUAACUAUGCACGUCUUGACGGUACCUAAUCAGAAAGCCACGGCUAACUACGUG
rnacentral:rRNA from 1 species